rnacentral:rRNA from 1 species
UACGUAGGUGGCAAGCGUUGUCCGGAUUUACUGGGCGUAAAGGGAGCGUAGGCGGAUACUUAAGUCAGAUGUGAAAUACCCGAGCUUAACUUGGGUGCUGCAUUUGAAACUGGGUGUCUAGAGUGCAGGAGAGGUAAGUGGAAUUCCUAGUGUAGCGGUGAAAUGCGUAGAGAUUAGGAAGAACACCAGUGGCGAAGGCGACUUACUGGACUGUAACUGACGCUGAGGCAUGAAAGCGUGGGGAGCAAACAGG